rnacentral:misc_RNA from 1 species
AGAGAAGAAAGAGGAAGAAGAGGAGGAUCCCAACAAGGAAGAGCCCGAGCAGCCAGAUAAGCAACAGUCUAGAAUGGAGAAGAGAGGAGGGUGGUGGCCUUAGGCAUCAAAUGUUACUCUUUCCGUUCAUGUAAUUUUGUUAGCAUGGUAGGUGAGGCGGGUGUCUUGAUAUGAUGAAGUUGGGGUCCCCUUGCGGUUAUUUGUUAAGCUGGUAAUGUGGCUAGAACUGCAUAUAAUUUAGACGGAGAACUUGUA